CACAGAUGAAAGUUAAAACAAAGAGGUUUAUCAAACUGUUAAAGCACACAAACCAUCGUCAUAUGAGAAAUCCGACGCUAUGACUCUCCACAAGUUGUCCUUCAGGUCUUUAUCUUUGUAAUAUUUGUGUCUUUUAUCAAAAAUCACUCUGUUCUCCGACACGUAAACAAUCAGCUGGUCGGCCAUGUUGGAUAUACCGGUGAAUCUGACGUCGCAACAACACGCAAUCUGAUUGGUCAGAAGUGGACACACAGUAUGCGAAACUUUAGAAAAAUCAACUAUUAU
rnacentral:lncRNA from 1 species